UGCCAAGGAAAUGGCUAGACAGUUGAAGGUGAAAGUCAUCAUCUAUCCCUUUUAUUUUCUUCCUCUUUUCACCAUGAAUUAUUUCUCAUAUUUUCUUUUCUUGGCUUCCAAAUGGAGCAACAAUUUCUGAUUUAUAACAAGAAAGUUCGUGAAUAGGUGAUACAAUACAACGCUUAGGUAGGGUGGAGGGUCAAGGAUUCAAUUCUGUCCAUAAUUAAAUUUAUUUUUUUCCCCAUAAAUACUUCUAUAUUGAUAAUGCUGAACACAAAUUAAAAAAAAAAAGGUUUGUCUCUCAUAAAUCCAAACUUCGCAGGGAAGGAAUGCAAGAGUAACAAUCAAU
rnacentral:misc_RNA from 1 species